rnacentral:rRNA from 1 species
UACGGAGAAUCCGAGCGUUAUCCGGAUUUAUUGGGUUUAAAGGGUGCGCAGGCGGAAGAUCAAGUCAGCGGUAAAAUUGAGAGGCUCAACAUCCGCCCGCCGUUGAAACUGGCGGCCUCGAGUGGGCGAGAAGUAUGCGGAAUGCGUGGUGUAGCGGUGAAAUGCAUAGAUAUCACGCAGAACUCCGAUUGCGAAGGCAGCAUACCGGCGCCCAACUGACGCUGAGGCACGAAAGCGUGGGUAUCGAACAGG